AUACGGAGGGUGCAAGCGUUGUUCGGAAUUAUUGGGCGUAAAGAGCAUGUAGGCGGACUGUUAAGUCUGGUGUGAAAGCCCGGGGCUCAACCCCGGAAGUGUAUUAGAUACUGGCAGUCUUGAGUAUGGGAGAGGAAAGUGGAAUUCCGAGUGUAGGAGUGAAAUCCGUAGAUAUUCGGAGGAACACCAGUGGCGAAGGCGGCUUUCUGGACCAAUACUGACGCUGAGAUGCGAAAGCGUGGGGAGCGAACAGGAUUAGAAACCCUUGUAGUCC
rnacentral:rRNA from 1 species